UACGGAGGGGGCUAGCGUUGUUCGGAAUUACUGGGCGUAAAGCGCACGUAGGCGGCUUUGUAAGUUAGAGGUGAAAGCCCGGAGCUCAACUCCGGAAUUGCCUUUAAGACUGCAUCGCUCGAAUCAUGGAGAGGUGAGUGGAAUUCCGAGUGUAGAGGUGAAAUUCGUAGAUAUUCGGAAGAACACCAGUGGCGAAGGCGACUCUCUGGGACGGUACUGACGCUGAGACGCGAAAGCGUGGGGAGCAAACAGG
rnacentral:rRNA from 1 species